CGCGUGUACUGGUCCGGCCGGGCCUUUCCCUCUGUGGAACCCCAUGCCCUUCACUGGGUGUGGCGGGGAAACAGGACUUUUACUGUGAAAAAAUUAGAGUGCUCCAGGCAGGCCUAUGCUCGAAUACAUUAGUAUGGAAUAAUAGAAUAGGACGUGUGGUUCUAUUUUGUUGGUUUCUAGGACCGCCGUAAUGAUUAAUAGGGACAGUCGGGGGCAUCAGUAUUCAAUUGUCAGAGGUGAAAUUCUUGGAUUUAUUGAAGACUAACUACUGCGAAAGCAUUUGCCAAGGAUGUUUUCAUUAAUCAGGAACGAAAGUUAGGGGAUCGAAGACGAUCAGAUACCGUCGUAGUCUUAACCAUAAACUAUGCCGACUAGGGAUCGGACGGUGUUAUAUUUUGACCCGUUCGGCACCUUACGAGAAAUCAAAGUGCUUGGGCUCCAGGGGGAGUAUGGUCGCAAGGCUGAAACUUAAAGAAAUUGACGGAAGGGCACCACCAGGGGUGGAGCCUGCGGCUUAAUUUGACUCAACACGGGGAAACUCACCAGGUCCAGACACAAUGAGGAUUGACAGAUUGAGAGCUCUUUCUUGAUUUUGUGGGUGGUGGUGCAUGGCCGUUCUUAGUUGGUGGAGUGAUUUGUCUGCUUAAUUGCGAUAACGAACGAGACCUUUAACCUGCUAAAUAGCCCGUAUUGCUUUGGCAGUACGCUGGCUUCUUAGAGGGACUAUCGG
rnacentral:rRNA from 1 species